rnacentral:rRNA from 1 species
CCAAACGGCCAUAGCACCCUGAACAAGUCUGAUCUCAUCUGAUCUCGUGAAGCUAAGCAGGGUUGGGCCUGGUUAGUACUUGGAUGGGAGACCACCUAGGAAUACCAGGUGCUGAAAAGC